rnacentral:tRNA from 1 species
AGGGCCUAUAGCUCAGCUGGUUAGAGCACACGCCUGAUAAGCGUGAGGUCGGUGGUUCAAGUCCAUUUAGGCCC